ACUGAGCUGGAAGGGGUGUGCAGUGCUCCCUUGUAUAAACCCCAACAGGCUUGCAAGGUGGGUGUUGAUCAAAGGAGUAAUAAAGAGCAAGUUAUAUACUCCUAGCACUCUGCAAACCCCAAGGGUUUUGGAACCUCUGUGCAGAAACUGGCAACGAAGUAUAAGUAUGUAUAUGCGGGUGUGAUAAAUCCUACCAUAGCCCCUGAAUGAGGAGUGGCCCACGUUCUUCCCCAGUCAAAGCUGUCAAGGAACCACGGGGAGCAGGUUUUCCACGCAGUCAUCAUGGCCGGAUUUACACCCUUCUCCACCUGCCUCUCUCUGGCUGGAGGGCUUCCAUGCCUCACGACCUUGGGCUUUCGAGGAGUCAUCUCGCUUCAUCCAUUUGCAGGUCUUCUGGCCCCAAAAGUCCUCACUGUCAUGACCAGGUCACGUCUCAGCUCCCGCAGCCUCUCCUUGGGCCAUGCAGGCCGCCUGUGUUGACUCUCACCCCUCUGCCCCUUUAGUAACACAAAAGAGACACCAUGCGACAAGCAGAGAAGAAGAGACUUCUCCGUGGAAGGUCUCCUGAAAACAAAAUAUCGUGUUAUUCUCAAGAUCUGUCCCCAGUGUGUCCGGUUUCUGCAGUUCUGUUUCGAUCUCUUCACACGGGCGCUAACCCUGAAGGUGCAGGGUUUUCUGUGAGUAGCAUAAAAAGAGUUCCUUCUUUUUUUAUUUUAUUUUUUUAAAUGAAAAAGACCACAUGCUCUUUCAUUUUGUCACGUGGACACCCAGGUUAGAGUCCUCCAGACAGACGGAAUCACUAGGUGAUAGAUACAGAUCCUUGCACGUAUUCCUAAUAAGAAAUCAUAUAUAGUCGCAUGUACGGUUUAUUUUAUGGGAUAGGCUAAAGCAAUUAUGGAGACGGACAGGUCCUAAGAUCCACAGUCAGCAAGCUGAGAGCUGACGGGGCAGCCCCAAGCCGGACUGCCGGGCUGGAGACCCAAGAAAGGCAGAUGGUUCAGAUUGGAGCUGAAGACAGAACACUGACACUCCAUCUAGAAGGCUGCCAGGCAGAGAGAGCGAGACUUCUUUCUUACUCAGCCUUUUUUGGCGGCAAGGGGGGUGGUCUUCAGCUGAUUGGACGAGGCCCACCCACACUGGGGAGAGCCAUCCUCUUCACUUUGUCUACUGAUUCAAAGGGUCAUGUCAUCCAGAAACGCCUCCCCAGAAGGACGCUUGACCACUUAUCUGGCCCCCCUGGGCCAGCCCCGCUACACGUGCAGUUCACCAUCACUGCAUCCACGUGGAUGUCAAGGUACAGAGACUGAGAGCACGCCGUCUUUUUCCCGUCUUUGGGGUGAAUGCUCUUGGACAUGCCGGGGCCCAGGGGUACUGAAAUGUUCACCAGCUCUGAGCCAGAGCCAUCCUAGGCCAUGUGGGGGUGGCUGAGAAGAUGCUAGAUUUCUGGGAUGACUAGGGGUGGCGAUUCGGGAGGCGGCCCUGGGCAAAGCUCUCUAAAGAUUUUCAGUCCAUCCACUGUUUUUCACUGUGUCCAAACCUACGCCCGGACCCUGGUCCUUCCCACAUCCCUCCUCUGUCUCCCCCCUCUCCCUCCUGACUCCCCGGGCAUCCACUGCAGUCAGCUCACUCCCUAGGGGUCAACAGAUCACUCAUGCACUGGGUGAUAAAUACCCUUUGAAAUUUGACUCCCUCCCAGAAGUAUUGUAUCUGAAAAGCUGAUUCAUUUUUUUUAAUUGUUUUUCUCCCAGCUUUAUGGAAGUAAAAUUGACAAAUAAAAA
rnacentral:lncRNA from 9 species